rnacentral:rRNA from 1 species
AAAAAAGGUAAGCUACUAAGAGCGAAUGGUGGAUGCCUUGACUGGUAAAGGCGAUGAAGGACGUACUAGACUGCGAUAAGCUACGGGGAGCUGUCAAGAAGCUUUGAUCCGUAGAUUUCCGAAUGGGGCAACCCAAUGUAUAGAGAUAUACAUUACCUAUAUAGGAGCGAACGAGGGGAAUUGAAACAUCUUAGUACCCUCAGGAAAAGAAAUCAAUAGAGAUUGCGUCAGUAGCGGCGAGCGAAAGCGCAAGAGGGCAAACCCAGUGCUUGCACUGGGGGUUGUAGGACUGCAAUGUGCAAGAGGUAAGUUUAGCAGAACAUUCUGGAAAGUAUAACCAUAGAGGGUGAUAGUCCCGUAUGCGAAAAACAAACCUUAGCUAGCAGUAUCCUGAGUAGGGCGGGACACGAGGAAUCCUGUCUGAAUCCGGGUCGACCACGAUCCAACCCUAAAUACUAAUACCAGAUCGAUAGUGCACAAGUACCGUGAGGGAAAGGUGAAAAGAACUGAGGUGAUCAGAGUGAAAUAGAACCUGAAACCAUUUGCUUACAAUCAUUCAGAGCCCUAUGUAGCAAUACAGGGUGAUGGACUGCCUUUUGCAUAAUGAGCCUGCGAGUUGUGGUGUCUGGCAAGGUUAAGCAAACGCGAAGCCGUAGCGAAAGCGAGUCUGAAUAGGGCGCUUAGUCAGAUGCUGCAGACCCGAAACGAAGUGAUCUAUCCAUGAGCAAGUUGAAGCUAGUGUAAGAACUAGUGGAGGACUGAACCCAUAGGCGUUGAAAAGCCCCGGGAUGACUUGUGGAUAGGGGUGAAAGGCCAAUCAAACUUCGUGAUAGCUGGUUCUCUCCGAAAUAUAUUUAGGUAUAGCGUUGUGUCGUAAUAUAAGGGGGUAGAGCACUGAAUGGGCUAGGGCAUACACCAAUGUACCAAACCCUAUCAAACUCCGAAUACCUUAUAUGUAAUCACAGCAGUCAGGCGGCGAGUGAUAAAAUCCGUCGUCAAGAGGGAAACAACCCAGACUACCAGCUAAGGUCCCUAAAUCUUACUUAAGUGGAAAACGAUGUGAAGUUACUUAAACAACCAGGAGGUUGGCUUAGAAGCAGCCAUCCUUUAAAGAAAGCGUAAUAGCUCACUGGUCUAGUGAUUUUGCGCGGAAAAUAUAACGGGGCUAAAGUAAGUACCGAAGCUGUAGACUUGCACACAACUUAGAUUAUUUAAGUUUAGAAUAUGAGAAACUAAGUUAUAUGUUUAGUUAUAUUUUUACUGAUUUUUAUAGAGUAAAGAUAGAAAUAAAACUUAGUAAAAUCAGUAAAAAUAUUCUUAGACUAAAGUUAAGUAGUUUAAGUUGUGUGCAAGUGGUAGGAGAGCGUUCUAUUUGCGUCGAAGGUAUACCGGUAAGGAGUGCUGGAGCGAAUAGAAGUGAGCAUGCAGGCAUGAGUAGCGAUAAUUAAUGUGAGA